rnacentral:ncRNA from 1 species
AAUCAGCGGGGAAAGAAGACCCUGUUGAGCUUGGCUCUAGUCUGGCCCUGUGAAGACACAUGAGAGGUGUAGAAUAAGUGGGAGGCUGGGCUCGUGCUCGGCGUUGCAGAGCGACCUGCCCGCCGGUGUCCCGGCCAUCGGUGAAAUACCACUACUCUGAUCUUUUUUUCACUUACCCAGUGAGGCUGGGGGGGGCUCUUGCUUCUCGUGCCAAGCAUCUGGCACGUGCUGGGCACAACCUGCUGCCGGGACAGCAGCAGGUGGGGAGUUUGGCUGAGGCAGUACACCUGUCAAAGUGUAAUGCUGGUGUCCUAAGGCAAACUCAGGGAGGACGGAAACCUCUUGUGAAGCAGAAGGGCAUAUGCUCACUUGAUUUUGAUUUUCAGUGAAAGCGAGGCCUCGUGAUCCUUCUGGCUUUUUGGGUUUUAAGCAGGAGGUGUCAGAAAAGUUACUACAGGGAUAACUAGCUUGUGGCGGCCAAGCGUUCAUAGCGACUUUUUGAUCCUUCGAUGUCAGCUCUUCCUAUCAUUGUGAAGCAGAAUUCACCAAGCGUUGGAUCGUUCACCUACUAAUAGGGAAUGUGAGCUGGGUUAGACCAUCGUGAGACAGAUUACUUUUACCCUCCUGAUG